UCCGCAUUAGUGUAGGGGUUAACAUAGCCCGCUUUCAAGAUCAAUUGGAGCCGGGCAGCCCCGGGUUCGAUUCCCGGAUGCGGAA